rnacentral:rRNA from 1 species
GACGAACGCUGGCGGCGUGCCUAACACAUGCAAGUUGAGCGCAGAAGGCUGGUACUUGUUCCUACUGGGUGAGCCGCGUACGGGUGAGUAACGUGUGGGGCAUCUGCCUUUGAGCGGGGUACAACAUUUGGAAACGAAUGCUAAUACCGCAUAAAUACUUUAAACACAAGUUUUAAGUUUUAAAGAGGCUAUUGCAGUGCUCAAAGAUGAUCCCGGGGUUUAUUAGCUAGUUGGUGGGGUAAAGGCUCACCAAGGCGCUGGUGGAUAGCCGGCCUGGGAGGGGGACCGGCCCCAAUGGGACUGGGGGAGGGGCCAGAAGCCGACGGGAGGCAGCAGUGGGGAAUAGUGCACAAUGGGCGGGAGCCUGAUGCAGAAACGCCGCGGGCGGGAGGACGGGCUGCGGGUUGGAAACCGCGGUCAGCAGGGGAGAAGCUUGUGGUGACGGUACCUGCAGAAGAAGCACCGGCUAACUACGUG